AUGAGCUCUACAUAUGAAUUCUAUCAUGGUAUCAUUCUCUCGUGUCUGAUCCUCCACGCUUCCCUGAGCUUCGAUCCAUGCAAAUGUACGGUUUUCAUGUUCCACCUACAUUAUGCGAUGUUGAAGCCCUUCUCUACGUGUAAGAGGCACAACUUGACAAAUUUCGUCAAGAACUUGCAGCAUCAACUAUUACUGCCAAUAUUGCUCACUCAUGACGAUAUCAGCUCCAUAGGAGCUUACUCAGGCAAUUGUGGUCGUGGCAUCAGGUUUAAUCAUGGUCGUGGGCGUGGAUGA